UGCAGUGUAGGGCUUGGCAUAUGCAAGGAAAGACUUGGUGACAGCAUCAUACUUGUCUUUGAGGGUCUCUUUGAUGAAUUCCUUCAAUUGUUUAAUCAGGAUUAUCCCCUUAGAAGAAACUCGUACCUCUAUAGUUGGUGGUGUUUACUUCAUAGGGUGUUUUGUCUCGUGAUCCUCUGGAGCUUUUCCCACUGCAUGGCUAGAUUCUUCGCCUAUCAGGCUUUCCACUCCAUCCACUAUCUUAUCAAUCCUAGCAUCUUGAUUCAGAACAUACUUGGUCAGGCUUUCAAUUGCCUUUGUCAGAUUCGCAAGCUGCUCCUCCAUCGAAGAGGAAUCAGUCACCAUUGAUUGCAUGAUCACUGGAUAGGUUGGAGAGUAACAUGGAUUAUCACAUAAGUUGAUAUUUGAAGGGCUUAACUUAUGCGGUGUAAGUGGACAUGACACAUUUGUUGAACGACCUUCGCUCUUUGCGCCAGAGUAUUUGGAACCAAAAUGCUCAAGUAGAGCCAGAGUCUUCUUAAGUGAUUUUGCGACACUGCUUCCUCCUUCUGAAACACUUGUAUUGAAUUUCUCCCCUUUUGGGGUUAAAGAUCCAAAAACUAAAGUUGGCAAGGACGACACUGGAUGUGUUUGUUGUCCUAGCAAGCCUGCCUUGCUCCUUGUGACAGCUCCUAAACAUCCAAAAGUAACACUCUCGCUUCCCCCGCCCCCCCAAUUGACUCCAUUUCCCUCAAAUUGACUCCGUCGGCCGGCCAUUGCAAUUGAGCUGGACUCCGAGAUUGAAUUGGGGAGGAGUUUGAGAAGAUUGAAGAUUUUGCUUCCAGACUACCAGUUGAGAGUUGGAACUGUUGCAAACUACAUACGGUUAUUGGUGUAUCAAACUUUUUCCUGUUUGUUGAAGAAAAAGCUGCAUCCCCCAAUAUAUCUAAAGUGAUAGAAUCCAUUCAAGUAAGUGUUCAUAUCUCCUUAAUAUUUCCAUUAUAAUUAAAUUUUCGUGAACAUUCUGUUUCAUCACUUCUACGUUUUUUAUUAAUAUACAAAAUGUGUGUACUCUGCAGGGAGUAAAAGGUAGCUGAUAUUUGCAUAUUUUAUACAGUAUUUUGUGCCUAUACUAUGAAGAUGAGGUCUCCAUGCAGUAGAGUAGAUAUUAUUUCCAAUUGCUUUGAGAAAUGUUUGUUAUCCCUUCUGUGGGUUUUAUUUUCUGUAUUUAGCCUUUUAUCUGUACGUUGCUAAUUAAUGAUCAAGGAGGAGAGAAACUUUUUGUCCGAAGUUAGAUGAGGAAAAGCAAAGUUUAUGAACUAUUAUAUGUUAGCAUGGGUUGACAUGUUCAAACUUGUUGGGAGUAUCUUACUUGAUAACCUAUUAUAUAUCAGGAGCAACUAUUCUUUGUGGAUGGAGGAGGUUGGUGUAGAGUGACCCGUUUACCUAUUACGAGCAAGCAGUAAUUACCCAUGGUAGCAGUGUCAACAUUGUGACUCUCAUUCAAACAGUUAUAUUAUGCUUGGUUCUUAGAAGGGAAAGGGAAGGGUAAAUGAAAGUGAAGUUCAUUCUUUAUUUUCCUUACGUGGAACACCAAGCAUUUAAUUCCUUUAUUUGAUAUACUGGAAGGUAAGUGAAUGAGAUUACCUCUUUCACCUCCUUUACUAAACAAGAGAAAUAACUCUUUCACUUCUCGUUAUCCAACCCUUCCUCCUUUCAAUCCAAGGGCAUUACAGUUCAUCCCGAGUACGCUUUGGAUCUGUUAUUAGUGUUAAAUGACUAAAUGUACUGAAGGAUUGGUUACUGAGCAUGGAAGUUUGACUGUAAAAGUGUAACAUUUGUCUUCUUGUCUUCUUUCUAUUUAUAAGUGAGAUCAAUUCAUUCAUAGAGAUUGCAAAAGAAGAGACUUUCUUUUCAACAUUCUUGACUUCUCAAUUUUAAAAUUACUCGAGAAGUUGAAGGCAUUUCAUACCGGGUUAAAGAAGAAGUGAUUAUUCAAGUUACUAACUUAAAUCAAACUAAAUUUAGAGAGUGAAAUUUCCACAUGGGCUAGUAGACAUGCUUUGUUCCCUAUAUUUCAUCUCACCUCUCUAUUAAGUGUAUAUUAUUUGAUAAACUGAUCUAUAAUAUCUUGUGUCCUAGUCGGAUUUGGAAUGAAACUUGGCUGGCUGGAUUUUUCUACCAACCAUGCAACUACGAGUUGUUUGUUAAGCAAACCCUUAACAUGGAAAUGACCAUCGUCAUGGCAAGGAAAGUUGGCGUGGACUAGAUCAUUCAUAUUGAUACUGAUGAACUAUUGCAUCCAGCUGGAUCUAGUGAGUAUUCUUUACGAAGACUUCUGGCAAAUUUACCCGAAGAUGUUGAUAUGGUGAUCUUUCCUAAAUAUGUUAGUAAUUGAGCUUGCUCUAGGCUGUCUUCUGACUCUGUCUAAGCAUGUUACUAUGCACGAAUAUUCAAAAAGCAUGCAUUUGCUUUCUUUUCAUUUUCUUUGGGAUUUUCUUGUCAUUGGUAUAAGAUGGUAAAUAUUUCAGGAGAGUAGUGUUGAGAGAGAUGAUGUGAAAGAACCUUUUAGUGAAGUAAGAUAUCUUUCACUGAAUCCCUUUUCUUAUUUUUCAAGUUCUAGUGUUUAAAUUCAAUCAUUUGGCUGGAACAUCCUCCACUGUUAUACAUGAAAAGAGAUAUUCAAAAAAUUUGAGAUUGAGGAUCUGAUUUCUCCCAGAAUGGAUAAAUGCUACCUUCAAUAAUAUGAAACCUUUGUAGUGGUAACUUUUGUUUUUCUUUUUAUUGAAGUUAUUUGUGAAGUUUCAGUAUAUUGUGUUCAUGUAAUUUUGGAAUUUUGUCUAUGAGGUUUGAUAUUAAAAGUUAGGAGAAUGAACUUUAGUGUUGCUGAUACAUUAUUUUUUGUUCUGCACACUACAAUUUCUGCUCUUCAAUCUGUUCUGCAAGAGGAUUUCAACGCCAGUGAAAUUGAGGUAAUUUGUUUCUUUCCACAUAUUAUCCGUCAUUAAUUAUUGCAGUUAUUAUUGCCUAUGUUGAUCACCACGUUAGCGGAGGCGAAAAAGGAGGAAGUGAAGGGAGCACAGUGCUUUUUGCUUGAGUUGAGUUGAGUGAAGUUGAGGAAGGGAAGGGAGCACAGUGAUCAAAGAAGUCAUUUCUUUUUCUUGUUUGGGGAUUGAUUUAGCAGUACUUGAGUUGUACCUCUGAAUGGUUACCAUCACAUGUCAUGAGAUUCAUAUUCCAUUAGAUAGUGUAGUUGCUUAAUUUUCAUAUAACUAGCUACUAGGACGAGUGAUUUCAGGACAAUAGAGAUGAGACCUCUGUCACAUAACUUAUUCCACUUAGUGCCACUGCUCUAGCUACUGCAUUGCUUCAUAUCAUAGUUACGGCACCUUUAGCUUAUUUUGCAGGACAAUGAACUGAUCCUGCUGUAAAAGUUUCUAAUUAUUGUUGGGAAAGAGUACCCUUAUUUCAUUCA